UCCCUGCUGAUCCAGUGAUCAAGAUUCUGUGCUUCCAAUGCAGUGGCUGCUGGUUCGAUCCCUGGGCAGGGAG
rnacentral:tRNA from 1 species